UACGGGGGGGGCAAGCGUUGUUCGGAAUUACUGGGCGUAAAGGGCUCGUAGGCGGCCAACUAAGUCGAACGUGAAAUCCCUCAGCUUAACUGGGGAACUGCGUCCGAUACUGAUUGGCUUGAAUCCGGAAGAGGGAUGCGGAAUUCCAGGUGUAGCGGUGAAAUGCGUAGAUAUCUGGAGGAACACCGGUGGCGAAGGCGGCGACCUGGUCCGUGACAGACGCUGAGGCGCGAAAGCGUGGGGAGCAAACAGG
rnacentral:rRNA from 1 species